rfam:Actinobaculum massiliae ACS-171-V-Col2 genomic scaffold supercont1.1, whole genome shotgun sequence.
AGGGUAGUGGCGCAAUUGGUAGCGCAUCGGUCUCCAAAACCGACGGUUGGGGGUUCGAGUCCCUCCUACCCUG